CCGAUGGUUCCUUGAGCCGCACCGAUGGCUCCGGGCCCGCGCGGGAUACAGCGCUUCCCGCCCAUCCGGCCCCGCCGCGGUGGCUCCUGCUGCGAGGAUCCAAAGGGCUUCGGGAAGCCACCAGGAAGAAGGAAAUGGAUUCAAGGGAGUUGCUGCCGUAAUUAGCCCAAUUCUGGUUAAUUAAGGCUACCAGGGCCUCAGCCCCUUCUCUCCCAGGGCUGAAAUUCCACGGGAAUGCCGUGACCUGAGGCAUGGAGCUCCACGGCAGGAUUUAUUUGCACACCACCUGCCCAGGCUCUCUCCGGGCUGAUCCAGAGGGAUUCAGGAGGCCGCCGGGAAGGAGAAAGUGUGUGCAGCGCUCCUGUCAGUGUAAUUAACCCUGCUCUGGUUAAUUAACACUGCCAGCACAGGGUGUGUGCUGGGUGUCACCUGCCAGGGCCUCAGCUCGUCCCACAGGGAUUGUUCCAGUGGCUGCGUGUGGAAGGACAGGCUGGAGCAGCGUGGCAGAUUCCCUGUGGAAGAACGAGGAGGAUCCAGCCACGCCAAAAUUGGGGAAUUAAACACGAGCCCGUAGUUUGUCCAUGUUCUGAUUCCAAA